rnacentral:misc_RNA from 1 species
AAAAUGGUGAAAAUUGGAGAAGGAAUUGAAGUCAGAGAUGAGCUAAUCAAGAAAACAUGUAACUUAACCAUGGAAGCUCACAAUUUAUCACCUGGGAAACCUUAUAUUUACAAGAAAAUUAAUGGGUCUACUGAUGUUGUUUUUGCUUUUGCUGGAACUUUGUCUUCUGAUGGUUGGUACAGUAACACUUCUUUUGGAGAGAAAGAGAUCAACACCACUCUGUUUCCAUCUUUGAGAAGUGUUGGCACUGAUGAAGUAGCUAAGGUCAAUGAAGUAUUUGCUACAAGAUUUGAAGAGAUACUGGACAAAUCUUCACUUAAAAAUGAGGUGGAGAAGGCAAUGUUAGAAGGAAGACAGGUAGUGUUUGCAGGGCACUCGUCGGGUGGCGCUAUAGCUAUUCUGGCAGCUCUCUGGUGUCUGGAAUGUUGCCGCACAAGACCAAAUGGUGACAUGUUACUCCAUCCAUACUGUAUGACUUUUGGAUCCCCUCUUGUUGGUAACAAGAUAUGGUCUCAUGCCCUCAGGCGCGAA